UGGGGAAUAUUGGACAAUGGGCGCAAGCCUGAUCCAGCCAUGCCGCGUGUGUGAAGAAGGCCUUUUGGUUGUAAAGCACUUUAAGCGAGGAGGAGGCUACUUGGGUUAAUACUCUAGGAUAGUGGACGUUACUCGCAGAAUAAGCACCGGCUAACUCUGUGCCAGCAGCCGCGGUAAUACAGAGGGUGCGAGCGUUAAUCGGAUUUACUGGGCGUAAAGCGUGCGUAGGCGGCUUCUUAAGUCGGAUGUGAAAUCCCUGAGCUUAACUUAGGAAUUGCAUUCGAUACUGGGAAGCUAGAGUAUGGGAGAGGAUGGUAGAAUUCCAGGUGUAGCGGUGAAAUGCGUAGAGAUCUGGAGGAAUACCGAUGGCGAAGGCAGCCAUCUGGCCUAAUACUGACGCUGAGGUACGAAAGCAUGGGGAGCAAACAGG
rnacentral:rRNA from 1 species